rnacentral:tRNA from 1 species
GGGGUGUCGUUGCAGCCUGGUAGUGCACGAGUUUCUGGUGCUCGUCGUCGUGGGUUCAAAUCCCACCACCCCCCG